GGGGUUGUGGCUCAGUGGUAGAGCACUUGCCUAGCAUGUGUGAGGCCCUGGGUUCGAUUCUCAGCACCA
rnacentral:tRNA from 1 species